UUUUAUGGUAAUAUAUAUAUAUAUAUAUAUAUAUAUGGGAAAUAUAUAUAACUUUUUCAAACAGGAAGUCAUUAGAACAAGUGGUGAGUGAAAUGCUGCAGAAUGUAUAUUCUACAACUAUGACAUACCGCUAAUUAUUGAAAUAGUCAAGCUUAUACAUUUAAUUGCUGUGACAAGUGACAGACUGGUAGUUCAGAAAAUCCUUGUCUAGUUUGUAAUUGGCUGAAUUUGUUCUCCUUGCCAUCAGGUCAACGUACACAGCUUCAGGUUUUGAUGAGAGUUCUUUGAAGUUUGGUAUUUCUUCAUCCACAGAAUCCACUGUUGAAGUAACCAUUUUCAGUUAUGAUGCCUUAACUAAGAAGCCAAUUGCUAGCCUGAAAGGCAGUCUCAGUAGCCAGUUCCAUUGAAUCCAGAGAAAACAGAAGCUGCUGAGCUUUAGAAUGGGCUUCUAAGUCCUGUUGUUUCUACUUGGACACACUUUGGGGUAGAUUAGACUUUCAGUAUAAAAGCAAGCGGCUACUUGACAUUAUCUUGCCCUUAUAGGGAAAGUGAGCACAAGCUGAAUGGUAUUGUCUGCUUUUACAAAAAAGAAAGAGAGAGAGAGACCGAGAGAUUGAGAGAGAGAGAGAGAGAGAUUGAGAGAGAGAGAGAGAGAGAGAGAGAGAGAGAGAGAGAAGAAAAGGGGGAAAGAAAAGGAGAAGAAAGAGAAAGGGAAAAAAGAAAAGUAAUUGUAACAUAGAAACCGAAGAGAGACAGACUAGACCAAUAUUGUGAAAUCCAUCUAAUCCAUCAUCUCAUCAUUUCAAAGCUCCUCAUCCUGGGUGAGCUUAUGGCUAGAUUUUGCUGUUGUUGUUGUUGUUGUUGUUGCUAUUGUUGUUUUUAAAGAAAAGAUCUAUCACAUACAUAUAUGCAUGUAUGUGUCCAUAUACUUACACAUGCAUACAUGCAUAUGUGUGUGUUUAUGUAUUUAACGGUGCUAAUCAAUCUUGAGCAGGUCACGUGACUGGUCAUGCGGACUCUAAAAUCAUAUCAGAUUUUUUAAAAAAUCCUUGAUAUAUGCAGAUAUUAUACAGAUUUUCUUACUGGUGUAAUAAUGUUAUACUGAAGAAUAACCAUCCUGCAGGCUUCAAAGGACGAGGUCAGCAAUAUUUCCCACCAUGGCUUGGGGGAAAAGGAUAGUUUUGUCUCCUUUUGUAUUCAAGUUGAUGCACAGUGCAUUUUUGUGUCUAAGUAGUUGUUGACUAAAAGACUUUGUAGUGUAAAGGGUGUUACACAAACUAUAAUGGUGUGCUUCAACCAAACCAACGCUAGGCCCUUUCACUCUUGUUGUAUAUUACAAAGCUGUUAAAUAUGUGCUUUGAAAUAACUUUGAACAUGUGGAAAUAUGUAGCAUGUGUCUUUAACUCAGACAAAGAUUCUAAUUGCACAAGUUGUGUUCUAGCCAGUUGUGGUUUAUUUGUUCAGAAACACAAAUGUGAAUUGUACUCUUUAUCACCAGAAUAUUGUAUGAGUUCCGUGAUCUUUAAACAGCUCAGAAGUAAUACUUGAACUUCAUUUGAGUAGCACAAAGUUUACAGAGCCCCCUUUUAAAUGUUA
rnacentral:lncRNA from 1 species